AUUGAACGCUGGCGGCAGGCCUAACACAUGCAAGUCGAACGGUAACAGGAAGAAGCUUGCUUCUUUGCUGACGAGUGGCGGACGGGUGAGUAAUGUCUGUGAAACUGCCUGAUGGAGGGGGAUAACUACUGGAAACGGUAGCUAAUACCGCAUAACGUCGCAAGACCAAAGAGGGGGACCUUCGGGCCUCUUGCCAUCGGAUGUGCCCAGAUGGGAUUAGCUAGUAGGUGGGGUAACGGCUCACCUAGGCGACGAUCCCUAGCUGGUCUGAGAGGAUGACCAGCCACACUGGAACUGAGACACGGUCCAGACUCCUACGGGAGGCAGCAGUGGGGAAUAUUGCACAAAGGGCGCAAGCCUGAUGCAGCCAUGCCGCGUGUAUGAAGAAGGCCUUCGGGUUGUAAAGUACUUUCAGCGGGGAGGAAGGGAGUAAAGUUAAUACCUUUGCUCAUUGACGUUACCCGCAGAAGAAGCACCGGCUAACUCCGUG
rnacentral:rRNA from 1 species